rnacentral:rRNA from 1 species
AUUGAACGCUGGCGGCAGGCCUAACACAUGCAAGUCGAGCGAGCGGCGGACGGGUGAGUAAUGUCUGGGAAACUGCCUGAUGGAGGGGGAUAACUACUGGAAACGGUAACUAAUACCGCAUACCAUCAGAUGUGCCCAGAUGGGAUUAGGUAGUAGUUGGGGUAAUUGCUCACCAAGGCUACGAUCCCUAGCUGGUCUGAGAGGAUGACCAGCCACACUGGAAUCGAGACACGGUCCAGACUCAUACGGGAGGCAGCAGUGGGGAAUAUUGCACAAGGGGCGCAAGCCUGAUGCAGCCAUGCCGCGGAUGUGAAGAAGGCCUUCGGAUUGUAAAGCACUUUAAGAUGAGAGGCGUUACGCACAGAAUAAGCACCGGCUAACUCCGUGCCAGCAGCCGCGGUAAUAC